GAGGGAUCAUUACCGAGUUUACAACUCCCAAACCCAAUGUGAACGUUACCAAACUGUUGCCUCGGCGGGGUCACGCCCCGGGUGCGUCGCAGCCCCGGAACCAGGCGCCCGCCGGAGGAACCAACCAAACUCUUUCUGUAGUCCCCUCGCGGACGUAUUUCUUUACAGCUCUGAGCAAAAAUUCAAAAUGAAUCAAAACUUUCAACAACGGAUCUCUUGGUUCUGGCAUCGAUGAAGAACGCAGCGAAAUGCGAUAAGUAAUGUGAAUUGCAGAAUUCAGUGAAUCAUCGAAUCUUUGAACGCACAUUGCGCCCGCCAGUAUUCUGGCGGGCAUGCCUGUCCGAGCGUCAUUUCAACCCUCGAACCCCUCCGGGGGAUCGGCGUUGGGGAUCGGGACCCCUCACACGGGUGCCGGCCCCUAAAUACAGUGGCGGUCUCGCCGCAGCCUCUCCUGCGCAGUAGUUUGCACAACUCGCACCGGGAGCGCGGCGCGUCCACGUCCGUAAAACACCCAACUUUCUGAAAUGUUGACCUCGGAUCAGGUAGGAAUACCCGCUGAACUUAAGCAUAUCAAUA
rnacentral:rRNA from 1 species